GUGGGGAAUAUUGGACAAUGGGCGCAAGCCUGAUCCAGCCAUGCCGCGUGAGUGAUGAAGGCCCUAGGGUUGUAAAGCUCUUUUGUGCGGGAAGAUAAUGACGGUACCGCAAGAAUAGGCCCCGGCUAACUUCGUGCCAGCAGCCGCGGUAAUACGAAGGGGGCUAGCGUUGCUCGGAAUCACUGGGCGUAAAGGGUGCGUAGGCGGGUCUUUAAGUCAGGGGUGAAAUCCUGGAGCUCAACUCCAGAACUGCCUUUGAUACUGAAGAUCUUGAGUUCGGGAGAGGUGAGUGGAACUGCGAGUGUAGAGGUGAAAUUCGUAGAUAUUCGCAAGAACACCAGUGGCGAAGGCGGCUCACUGGCCCGAUACUGACGCUGAGGCACGAAAGCGUGGGGAGCAAA
rnacentral:rRNA from 1 species